CACAAACAAAUUGCUUCUCUUCUACGCUACACUAAAUUCCUUUCUUAGCUGUGCAUGCCACAUUCUUUUCUCCCCUCAUCACUGCUUCUCUAAUUCCUUCUGAGUUUAGUCAGAUCAUCGUUUGAAGAUCUUGCUGGGCCAGGACAGGAGGUCUCCUGGUUGUCGACCAGCUUGGCACUGGUUCCUUCUUCUGUGUGCUAAUCAAAAUCCUUGAAGACAAUAAAAUGGACCAAGUAUGUUUUCCUUUCACUUUUGCUUAAUAUUGUUAGUGCUAUUUUCUUGUUAUAUUUUACUUGAUCAUGCUUAAGAAAGCAAGAAUCUCCAGCUUGCUUUUUUGUUUUAUCCAACUGUAAUAACCCAAUUUUGGAUUCUUCAAAUUUUCUUGAAUGUUAUUUUAUAUCUAUUUUUAUUCAUUAAAAUCUAAAAAAAUUAAGAAAACGUAUAAAAUUAAAAAUAUAUUUUCUCGGGUCAACCGCCUUUUUCCAAAAAAAAAAGAAGCUCACUGGGUCAAUACAGGUCAAAUCGUGUCGAUUGGGGUAAAAAAUGAGUUUUAGGUCAUUUCAGGUCAAAAAUAUCAUUUUCGAUGAAAACUGAGUCAAUAUGAGUCAAACCAUGUCAGCCGGGGUAAAAACAAAUGAGUUUCAUGCCGUUUUGGGUUAAAACUGUUAUUUUCGGUCAAAACUGAUUCCACUAGAUCAAUACGGGUCAAACCAUGUUGAGCGGGGAAAAAAAUGAGUUUCAUGCAGUUUUGGGUCAAAACUAUCAUUUUCGAUCAAAACCAUGUCCACGGGUCAAAAUGAGUUAGACCAUGUCGACCGGGAUAAAAAAUAAGUUUCAGGCUAUUUUGGAUCAAAACCGUUAUUUUCGAUCAAAACCUAAUAUACCAAGUUGUUACUAAUAGAAAAAUAUUUUUUUCUAUAUUUGAAAUUAAUUUUUUAGUUAUCAAAAUUGAUAUUUAGUCGUUCAAACGAGCUUUUUCAAUAAUGCAUAAGUUUUUAUUGGAGUAGGUGGUGCAGUUGGGGAAAUGAAAUUUUUUCUUCGGGACAGAGCCGUAUCUCUUAGUUAUAAAUUUUCAUGUCUCCUCAUCAUUGCUUAUAAAAGCCAAUGAAAAUUUGAAAAAAAGGGAGAAGCAAAAAAAAAAAAAAAAAACAAAAAAAAUAGAGGAGGAGAAGUGAAUACAUAAUAUUUUUCAUAUUUUUUUUAGUUUUUAUUCCAGCAAGUAAGAUAUUGAUUUAAAAAAAAAAUUCAAAAAAUACAAAACAUAUCCUAAUCGUUGAUCUAAUAAUAUUUAGUUUUGAACUCCUAAUUAGAUUUGAUAUAAUAGGGCUCACCACACUGGAUUAAAACUCAAAUUCAUCUCAGCCCUUAAACAAAUCUAUCCUUUGAUCUUAUUGUGUAAUGUCACCGGGUGUAUCAAAAAUCUAGUGCACCUUACCACACCAAAGCCAAUAUUUGUCCAUCAACACCGCCCGAUCAACCUUAAAAGCAAGCCAACUGCAGCCAAAGGAUCGACUCAGAAGUAAUCCAAUGGUCCGCAAGCUUCAGGUGCACCUGCUUACCAUGCUCAUGUCCGCACCAUAGUAAAUCUAAGAGAUUUCCUGAGAGGGUCAAGGGUAUUUUAGUCUUUUGUCUAUACAGUGGCACUCAGGUAAUUUUGGGGAUUCCUAGUGGUAUUUUAUUUAUUUUUUAUACAAGUAUUUGUAAAAUUUUCUUUAUAUUUUGUAAAAUACCCGAAAUAAAUAUAAAAAAGAAUAACAACGCGGGUCCAACACACAUCUUAUCCCAUCAUCAUGAGUGGGUUUCAAUUAUGGGUUAUGCCCAUUUUUUAGCGAUGUGAAUAUAAUCUUUCUUUUUAGAAAUGAACAUUAUUUGUCGAUA